GAUGAACGCUGGCGGCGUGCCUAAUACAUGCAAGUCGAGCGAACGGACGAGAAGCUUGCUUCUCUGAUGUUAGCGGCGGACGGGUGAGUAACACGUGGAUAACCUACCUAUAAGACUGGGAUAACUUCGGGAAACCGGAGCUAAUACCGGAUAAUAUUUUGAACCGCAUGGUUCAAAAGUGAAAGACGGUCUUGCUGUCACUUAUGGAUGGAUCCGCGCUGCAUUAGCUAGUUGGUAAGGUAACGGCUUACCAAGGCAACGAUGCAUAGCCGACCUGAGAGGGUGAUCGGCCACACUGGAACUGAGACACGGUCCAGACUCCUACGGGAGGCAGCAGUAGGGAAUCUUCCGCAAUGGGCGAAAGCCUGACGGAGCAACGCCGCGUGAGUGAUGAAGGUCCUCGGAUCGUAAAACUCUGUUAUUAGGGAAGAACAUAUGUGUAAGUAACUGUGCACAUCUUGACGGUACCUAAUCAGAAAGCCACGGCUAACUACGUG
rnacentral:rRNA from 1 species